UACGAAGGGGGCUAGCGUUGCUCGGAAUUACUGGGCGUAAAGCGCACGUAGGCGGUCUUUUAAGUCGGGGGUGAAAUCCUGGAGCUCAACUCCAGAACUGCCUUCGAUACUGGAAGACUCGAGUCCGGGAGAGGUGAGUGGAACUGCGAGUGUAGAGGUGAAACUCGUAGAUAUUCGCAAGAACACCAGUGGCGAAGGCGGCUCACUGGCCCGGUACUGACGCUGAGGUGCGAAAGCGUGGGGAGCAAACAGG
rnacentral:rRNA from 1 species